GACGAACGCUGGCGGCGUGCUUAACACAUGCAAGUCGAACGGAAAGGCCUGUCCUUCCUUGUGUUGGACGGGUACUCGAGUGGCGAACGGGUGAGUAACACGUGAGUGAUCUGCCCCCAACUUGGGUAUAAGCCUGGGAAACUGGGUCUAAUUCCCGAUAGGACUGCAGGGUGGUGCCUGUGGUGGAAAACGAUUUUCUAGUGGUUGGGGAUGAGCUCGCGGCCUACCAGCUUGUUGGUGGGGUAAUGGCCUACCAAGGCGGCGACGGGUAGCCGGCCUGGGAGGGUGGACGGCCACAUUGGGACUGAGAUACGGCCCAGACUCCUACGGGAGGCAGCAGUGGGGAAUAUUGCACAAUGGGCGGAAGCCUGAUGCAGCGACGCCGCGUGGGGGAUGACGGCCUUCGGGUGGUAAACUCCUUUCGACCGCGAGGAAGCCGCCUGGUUGGAAGGGUGGUGACGGUAGUGGUAGAAGAAGCACCGGCUAACUACGUG
rnacentral:rRNA from 1 species